CCGAGGCACAGAUUGCAACGUGCCAUCUUCUCACCAAUGGGUAUUUUUGGAAAACGGGAUGUCACCGGCGAGCUGGCCAGUUUUAAGUUUUUUGCAAAAAUGCCAGGCGUGGAUUUAACCCCGGUGCCCUCCCCAGAAAGCCCGGCUUGCGUGUGGCGGCGGUUGGCGAGUGAAGCCCUCUAACGCCGAUGAUCCCGGAGCGGGCAGCUGUGUGAUUUCGGAGACUGCGGCUGUCGUUCAUCUACAGUGGGCACGGAUAUAUAAGUAAACUGGCGAGAUGAUGUGCGAGGUGAUGCCCACCAUCAGCGAGGACACGGCGGCCGGCCAGCGCGGCUCCCAGAGCAGUGCCUCGGACCCGGACUCGCACUUUGAGCAGCUGAUGGUCAACAUGCUGGAUGAGCGCGACCGGCUGCUGGACACGCUGCGUGAGACGCAGGAGAGCCUGGGGCUGGCUCAGCAGCACCUGCAGGACGUCAUCUACGACCGUGAUUCACUGCAGAGGCAGCUGAGCUCCGCCCUGCCUCAGGAGUUUGCUGCCCUGACCAAGGAGCUGAAUGCAUGCAGGGAGCAGCUGCUGGAGAAGGAGGAGGAGAUCUCUGAGCUGAAGGCGGAGAGGAACAACACGCGGCUGCUUCUGGAGCACUUGGAGUGCCUGGUGUCCCGGCACGAGCGCUCCCUGCGCAUGACCGUCGUCAAGCGGCAGGCCCAGUCCCCGUCGGGCGUGUCCAGUGAAGUCGAGGUCCUCAAAGCCCUCAAGUCCUUGUUUGAGCACCACAAGGCCCUAGAUGAAAAGGUCAGGGAACGGCUGCGGGGUUCCCUGGAGAGGGUCUCGGCCCUGGAGGAGGAGCUGGCCGCCGCCAACCAGGAGAUUGUAGCCUUGAGGGAGCAGAAUGCCCAUAUCCAGAGGAAGGUAGCUUCAGGGGAAGGAGCAGACGACCUGUUGGAUGGCACGGACACCAGUCUUAAGGUCCAUGGCAAGCGCCUCUCCAACGGCUCCCUGGAGUCAGUCGACGAGGCCAGCCAGGUGGUGGAGCUGCAGGAGCUGCUGGAGAAGCAGAACUUUGAACUGGCCCAGAUGAAGGAGCGCAUGUCCUCGCUGUCGUCUCGCGUUUCGGAGGUGGAGCAGGAGCUGGAGACAGCCCGCAAGGACCUCAUCAAGUCCGAGGAGAUGAACAGCAAGUACCAGAGGGACAUCAAAGAGGCCAUGUGUCAGAAGGAAGACAUGGAGGAGCGCAUUGUGACCCUGGAGAAACGCUACCUGAGUGCCCAGAGAGAGUCCACCUCCCUGCACGACAUCAGCGACAAGCUGGAGAACGAGCUGGCUAACAAGGAGGCCAUCCUCAGACAGAUGGAGGAGAAGAACCGGCAGCUGCAGGAGAGGCUGGAGCUGGCUGAGCAGAAGCUGCAGCAGACCAUGAGGAAGGCGGAGACGCUGCCCGAGGUGGAGGCCGAGCUGGCCCAGAGGAUAGCGGCCCUCACCAAGGCAGAGGAGCGUCACGGGAGCAUCGAGGAGAGCAUGCGGCACCUGGAGUGCCAACUGGAGGAGAAGAACCAGGAGCUGCAGAGAGCUCGCCAGAGGGAGAAGAUGAACGAGGAGCACAACAAGCGCCUGUCGGACACCGUGGAUCGGCUGCUGACGGAAUCCAACGAGCGACUCCAGCUCCACCUCAAGGAGAGAAUGGCGGCCUUAGAGGAGAAGAAUGUUUUAAUACAGGAUUCGGAAAACUACAGAAAACAGCUGGAAGAUUCCCUCCAUGAAAAAUCUCAGCUUGCGGAGGAGAUGGAGAAGCUGAGAUCGGAACUGGGUCAGUUCAGAAUAAGGGCCGGAUCGCUCACGGAACCGACCCUGUCACGGUCUCACCUGGACGCCUCCACAGAGCUCCGGUUCUCCCUGGGCUCCCUGGCGGACACCCAGUCAGACCAUUACAGGUCGACAAAGGUGAUCCGAAGGCCUAGGAGAGGCAGGGUGGGCCUCCGGCGCGAGGAGCAUAGGGCUAAGUCCCUUGGGGAGCAUGAAUGGCGAACCCAACAGCUGGGGGUCCUAGGGACCCAUCACUUUGAGAGCGACACGGAGAUAUCAGACAUCGAUGACGACGACCAUGACACCAUCUUCAGCUCCAUGGAUCUCCUGUCCCCUGGAGGCCACUCGGAUGCCCAGACACUGGCCAUGAUGCUGCAGGAACAGUUGGAUGCCAUCAACAAGGAGAUCCGGCUGAUCCAGGAGGAGAAGGAGUCGACAGAGCUGAGAGCAGAGGAGAUCGAGAAUCGUGUGGCCAGUGUGAGCCUGGAGGGCCUCAACCUGGCCCGAGUGCACCACUCCGGAGCCUCCAUCACCGCCUCAGCCACCGCCUCCUCGCUGGCCAGCUCUUCCCCCCCCAGUGGACACUCCUCCCCCAAACAGACCCCCCGCAGCCCUGCCCGGGACAUGGAACGCAUGGGUGUCAUGACAUUGCCCAGUGAUUUAAGAAAACACAGGAGAAAGAUAGCGGCAGUGGAUGAGGAUGGUCGGGAAGACAAGGCCACCAUCAAGUGCGAAACGUCGCCACCUCCCACGCCCCGCCAAGUGCGAAUGACCCACACGCUGCCCUCCUCCAGUCAUAAUGAUACGCGUGGCGUGAGCGCCGCCCUGGAGGUGGAUGCUAGCGCCCUGAGCAGUGUCGCCAGCAGCCAGGACUCCCUCCACAAGCAGCCCAAGAAGAAGGGCAUCAAGUCCUCCAUCGGCCGGCUCUUCGGCAAGAAAGAGAAGGCCCGACUGGGCCAGCUGCACAAAGAGCUGGGCGGACCGGGCCAAGUAGGUGCAUCUGAUCCGGAGCUGACCAGUCAGGAAAUGGCUCCAGGGAAGCUGGGCACCCAGGCUGAGAAGGACAGGAGGCUGAAGAAGAAGCACGAGCUGCUGGAGGAGGCUCGCAGGAAGGGCUUACCCUUUGCCCAGUGGGACGGCCCCACCGUGGUGGCCUGGCUGGAGCUCUGGCUAGGCAUGCCCGCCUGGUAUGUGGCAGCCUGCCGUGCCAACGUGAAGAGCGGCGCCAUCAUGUCAGCACUGUCGGACACGGAGAUCCAGCGUGAGAUCGGCAUCAGCAACCCCCUUCAUCGACUCAAGCUGCGCCUGGCCAUCCAGGAGAUGGUGUCCCUGACCAGCCCCUCAGCUCCUCCCACCUCCAGAACUCCCUCAGGCAAUGUCUGGGUGACCCACGAGGAAAUGGAGAACCUUGCAGCUCCCACCAGAACGAAAUCAGACUCUGAAGAGGGAAGUUGGGCCCAGACUCUCGCGUAUGGAGACAUGAACCACGAGUGGAUCGGUAACGAGUGGCUGCCCAGUCUGGGGCUCCCUCAGUACCGCAGCUACUUCAUGGAGUGCCUGGUCGACGCCCGCAUGCUGGACCACCUCACCAAGAAAGACCUCAGGGUGCACCUCAAGAUGGUCGACAGCUUCCACAGGACAAGUCUGCAGUAUGGAAUCAUGUGCUUAAAGAAGCUGAACUAUGACAGGAAAGAGCUGGAGUGGAGGAGAGAACACAGCCAGCAUGAGAUAAGAGACGUACUGGUGUGGAGCAACGAGCGCGUGAUCCGCUGGGUGCAGAGCAUCGGGCUGCGUGACCACGCCAACAUCCUGCAUGAGAGCGGCGUGCACGGAUCCCUCAUCGCCCUCGACGACAACUUCGACUACAGCAGCCUGGCUCUGCUGCUGCAGAUCCCCAACCAGAGCACGCAGGCACGGCAGAUCCUGGAGAGAGAGUACAACAACCUGCUAGCCUUGGGCACAGAGAGGCGUCUGGAAUGUGACGACAAGGACUUCCAGCGUAGCGCCCCCUGGAGGAGACAGUUUCCACCACGGGACUUCCACGGGAUCAGCAUGAUGCCCGGCGCUGCGGAGACGCUGCCGGCCGGCUUCCGGCUCACCACCACCUCUGGACACUCGCGCAGGAUGCCCCCCGAAGGUGGGUGUGGGGAGGACAGGGGGGCGAUUUCUGCUACACAGUCCUGUAACAUACAGGCUGGGAGUAAUAGGGCCCAAAUAUCCUCUAGCUCUGUAACGGGCACAAUUACACUAACACUUCUCUAAGUGUUAAAUCAGUGUUAGAUAUUUUGAUUUUGACAGCGAACUUUCAUGGUGCUGGAUCUGCUGCCUAAUCGUCACCCCUACAGCAGACUCUGGGUCACUGUGUCCCCUCCUUUUUGACUGUGUCCCUAUCAUUUUUUUUCAACUUGGCACUGUAGUCCUCUAUGAGGUGUUGGACAGCUGUCCCGAGGACAUAUGUGAGGACUGGUGUUAAGGUCAGCUAUACUGGUGGAGUUCACCACCCUACAUGCCCCACCCCCAGAUCCUGUUGCCCUCCCCGCCUGUCAUCCUCAGUGAGCUGACCUUUCAGUGUCCCACGUUUCCCGCCCUCUCAGUUUCACAGCACGAGCAGGAAUGCACACCAGAUGAGGGCUUUGAAACAGGACGUCUGUGUGUGAAAACCUGCCCCCGGUGUGAAAAUACUGCAGUCAUGUCUGUGAUCUUUAAAUUUACAUCCAAUCAACACGUCUAAGGUACAACCCUCAUCAGAACGGGUCCCGGCUGUCCCCAAGUGUCACGCUGUUGACUGGGUAACAGACUCAGUAAUCGUGUGAAUACUUGCACUUUGUGUGCUUUUUACCUCCAGCCACAAGGGGUCGCUUGAGGUGACGUUUCCCUUUGUCUGCAGUGGGCCCGUCGGCGAUGCAGAGGCUGGACAGCUCCACUGUGAGGACCUACUCGUGCUGACAUUCUUACUGGAGGGGGAGAGGCUCUGCAGUGAGUAGUAGGUUGUUAGCCCUCGUUUUGCCCCCAUUACCUCAGAAGCGGGCAAGGAGUCCCCUCCGCAGGACCUCAUACAAGGAACAGAGCUCCGACAAGACGCACUGCCAAGAAGCACGACCCCCCCCUUCCCACCUCAGAACCAAGGGCCCAGCAGGGGCACGUGGGGGGUGCCGGUGGGGGGGUGCCAAGGCCCAGGAUGGCCCCUCUGCACUUGCAAGCCAAGUCCUUAAUCUGGCCACCAAACCGGGUGCUAACCAAUGUCCCACAGCCUCUUUUUUUGCUAUUUAUACCUUGUAAAAUAACUAGUUAAGAUGUGUAUUUCUUCUAAUGGAAAUCGUUGAAGUUAUCUGUAAAUGAAUAUAAAUACUGCUUUUUAUAAGCGCGUACAUCACAGAGGCAACUUUGUGCCGAACACGUCCCCUGAAUGUCAGUCCCGCAGGUGAAAGAUGCUGCUGUGACUUUUUUUUUCCAUCCUUACAGCUAUUUCGUACGUUGGAUUUUCCUUCGUCCCCAAAGCUUAGCGGAAGGAGGACCUCGCGCUUAAAAGCAUUUCUUUCCACUCCUCACCUUGGUCUUUUUUCUGAUCGACGCCAUUUUUACGUUCAGCUGUGAACGCAUAUCGCCCCCUGGUGGUGUACAGCCAUGUGCUCGUGUGUCACCGGCGCAACGCGGGGCGGGGGGGGAAGCCAGGGGCAUGGAGGAGCGCACUGUGACAGCGAGCCGCUGUGACGAGCACUUUGAGAGAAACCACGCACGCUGACCUCUGCAUAACAAGGAGCUGAUUACUCCUCUCCUCCUGACGUGUGCAACCGAACCAUCAACUUAGCUGGUGCGCCAGAAGCCGGACUGGCGCCGCUGUGCUGGACCCUCAGCCCAAAAGGCCUUUUUCCGUCCCAUGGACUUUAACCCCAGAGUCACUUUAUAAGGAAGAACGGUCGAGAGACAGGCCGCCGAACUUGUAUGUGGUAAAUAUGAACGUGUCAAACGCCAGAGGAACUCAGCUCAAUGUGUUGCUUGCUUUGACUGUUUAGUGUAGCUGUUGACAUCGUGCCAGGGGUGAUCUCUUCUUCUUCCGUUCCCGUGUCUUUUCUGUUUACUCUUAGCUCAACAUUGAUUUUAUUCCUGCCCCUCCCCACCGCCCCCCACGUAUGACUCCUACCUACUUAUUCAUCUGGAGUUUUAUGUUCUUGUUUUGCACGUACAGAGAAUUUAUUUUGUGUCCAUUUAAUUUAUUACUGUUUUUUGGAAAAUAGUAAAAUGGUGGUAAGAUUUUCAUUGUCAAUAAAAAAAACUGUCGAAUCACAGGAAUUAAAA